GCCUGGGUGGCUCAGUCAGUUAAGCGUCUGACUUUGGCUCAGGUCAUGAUCUCACGGUUCGUGGGUUUGAGCCCCACGUCAGGCU
rnacentral:tRNA from 1 species